rnacentral:rRNA from 1 species
UACGUAGGGAGCAAGCGUUGUCCGGAAUUACUGGGCGUAAAGGGUGCGUAGGCGGUUUGAUAAGUCAGAUGUGAAAUAUCCGGGCUUAACCCGGAGGGUGCAUUUGAAACUGUGAGACUUGAGUGCAGGAGAGGAAAGCGGAAUUCCUAGUGUAGCGGUGAAAUGCGUAGAUAUUAGGAGGAACACCAGUGGCGAAGGCGGCUUUCUGGACUGUAACUGACGCUGAGGCACGAAAGCGUGGGGAGCAA